GGCGGCCGGCGGGGGAGGCGGCAGCGCGGGCCGUCCGGCAGAGGCGGGGUGGCCCGGGCGCCGAGUCUGGGGUCUCCGCAGGUCCAGCCGCAGGUUCGGGUUCCGCGGCUUCCCGCGACCGUUAACCACGGUUGACUCAGCUGAUCUGGCUGGCUAGACCAGUGUCCCCUUCCUGCGUCACCCCUUCACGUGUGUCCCUCCUCAAGCUGCAAGCUCAAGCUCGUCGAAAAGGGUAUUGGAAUAGCUGCACUCCUUCGCUAGAACCUUCAAACAAGCUGGACUGGCAAUAAAAGUGUGUAAGGUCAUGAAUCCACCUUGCAAUGCAGGGAACAAGGGUUCAAUCCUUGGUCCAAGAAGAUCCCACAUGACACGGAGCAAAUAAGCUCGUGCACCACAACUACUGAGGCUGGGCUCUAGAGCCUAUGCUCCGCAACAAGAGACGCCACUGCAGUGAGAAGCCCGUGCACCACAACAGAGAGGAGCCCCUGCUUGCCGCACCUAGAGAAAACUCUUACGCAGCGAUGCAGACACAGUGCAGCCAAAAAUAGCUAAAAUAAAAUAAACACAUAAAAUUAUAAAAAAAUAAAGAAAACAUCACCAAUACCCAGAAGCAGUUAUAUAAUUUACAGGGCCCAAAGAGAAAUGAAGAUGCAAUGUUCCAGUUUUAUUAAGAACUUUAAGAUGGUGACCGCAGAGCUUGAAGUCAACUGUGGGGUCUUUCAAAGCACAGGGCCCUAUACACAUGCCCCUGAAGCUGGCUCUUCAACUCCCCUCUUGGCUCUCUUCUCAUCCUCAGCCCCACUCCCUAGCAGAGGUAGUCAGUGUCCUGACUUCAAAUAAAGAGAAUAGUUUGGUCUA